GUAUGAUUAAUACUUAUGCGACCAUACCUUCUAAACUCUACUUUGGGAGUCAACAAUCAUGUAUGUUGAUGUAUUGAUUUGCAUAAUGCCAACAAGUUACCAUACGUAAGUCCUCCCCUAAAUUUAUAUUUUGGUUAAGAAUUUAAUUUUUCUCAUCUAAGUAAAUUUUUGGAUGUGUUGUGUCUAUCACAGUUGCUCCAAUAUAAUGCACUUAGAUAGAACUUGAAAGAAUAUUGGGGAAAUCUAUUUGAUAGGAAUCUUCAUCUAUUAUAAAUUGUAUUGAGCCAACUUGUUUACAGUCCAGUAGGCUGAUUAGUUUUCCCAAUAUUAGGGGGAGAGAAUAAGCAGCUGAAAAUGUAAACCUGAAGUUCAAAUGAAUAAUUUGAAAGGAAAUAUUAUUGUCUCAUCUUGAUCUUCAAAAUAUUACUCGUUUGCAAAUUUAAAUAGAUAAAAUAGCAGCCGCUAAUGCUCCAAACGAAAUAGAUGUCUUGCAAAUGAGUCCCAACCGUCAUGAAGCGUGGUAGACCAAUCAGUUCCACAUAUAAAAUCCUCAAACAAGAAAAGGAGCUAAAAUGAAAGAUAACCCAAAUAAGGAUGUGUAAACUCUAAUAGAGUCAUCUGACAUAAUUGAUUUGAAGUUCUAGAAGAACUGACCAGGUACCUGAGAUGUAUGAAAAAUAAAGAGAUCUCGAUAAAUUAUGUCAUGAAUGGAAUGAGGUUGAACAAAAGUGAAAGUCAACGUUGAUGAUGUUUUUGCAUAUAAUAUAGAGCUAUAUGUGAUUGGUGAUAAUGAGGAUCAUGAAUUAAAGUCUAUAAAAGAUUAUAGAAAAAAAAAUAUCUGCAGAUGGAAAGAGACAAUUCCUGUGAAAUCAAACUCGCUUUGUAAAGCUAAACUUUUUGGACUUGUAGUCCCCACACUUGAAGAUGUGAAGUUAAUUAGAUAUAUACAAGUUUUCGCGCGAAAGAGAAUUACAUUGAUAAAAUAUACAUAUGUAAAGAGUUUGAUAUGUUCACCGGAAGUGAGCUGAUACAUGUCUAACGUUUAUGUUUAAGAGAUAUAUUCACCUGAAAUGAAUUCAAGAACUUUUUCUUACUUGAUUAAGUUUAGUAUCACAUGAAAGACUCAAUUUAUAUGAAAAAUGUAUUGCAAUAUAGUUGUAUGACCCACAUGAUAGUGAUGAGUAUAUGAAACUCUGAAAGAGUUAAUUUUCGUGAGAUAUUGAAGAAAUGACAUCAUAUGUCCAUUUUAAUGUAUUUUAUUAAUUAUAUAUAUAUUGUGAUAUUUUGUUUUUUUUUUUGUCAAUAUUAAUAUAAGUAUAUGGUGGUGUCGGUAUUGUGGCCAAAUAUUUAUGUACGUAAGCUCAUCACUAUGAUGAGUGAGUAA
rnacentral:lncRNA from 1 species